rnacentral:rRNA from 1 species
UACGUAGGGCGCAAGCGUUGUCCGGAAUUAUUGGGCGUAAAGAGCUCGUAGGUGGUUUGUCGCGUCUGCCGGUGAAAGCCCGGGCUUAACUCCGGGUCUGCGGAUGGAUACGGGCAGACUAGAGGCAGGUAGGGGAGAACGGAAUUCCCGGUGUAGCGGUGAAAUGCGCAGAUAUCGGGAGGAACACCGGUGGCGAAGGCGGUUCUCUGGGCCUGUACUGACGCUGAGACGCGAAAGCGUGGGGAGCGAACAGG